rnacentral:rRNA from 1 species
UACGAAGGGGGCUAGCGUUGUUCGGAAUUACUGGGCGUAAAGGGCGCGUAGGCGGCCCUCCAAGUCAGAUGUGAAAGCCCCGGGCUUAACCUGGGAAUUGCAUUUGAGACUGAAGGGCUUGAGUUUCGGAGAGGUGGGUGGAAUUCCCAGUGUAGAGGUGAAAUUCGUAGAUAUUGGGAAGAACACCGGUGGCGAAGGCGGCCCACUGGACGGAACACUGACGCUGAGGCGCGAAAGCGUGGGGAGCAAACAGG